rnacentral:rRNA from 1 species
CCUACGGGUGGCAGCAGUGGGGAAUAUUGCACAAUGGGGGAAACGCUGAUGCAGCAACGCCGCGUGAGUGAAGGAGUAUUCCGGUAUGUAAAGCUUUAUCAGUAGGGAAGACGAAAGACGGUACCUGACUAAGAAGCCCCGGCUAACUACGUGCCAGGCGCCGCGGUCAUACGUAGGGGGCAAGCGGUAUACGGAUUUACUGGGUGUAAAGGGAGGGUAGACGGCUGUGCAAGUCUGAAGUUAAAUGCCGUGGCUGAACCGCGGAACUGCUUUUGAAACUGGAUGGCUUGAGUACUGGAGAGGCAGGCGGAAUUCGUAGUGUAGCGGUGAAAUGCGUAGAUAUUAGGAGGAACACCAGUGGCGAGGGCAGCCUGCUGGACAGAAACUGACGUUGAGGCUCGAAAGCGUGGGGAGCAAACAGGAUUAGAUACCCCUGUAGUC